AGGAAUAUUGGUCAAUGGACGAGAGUCUGAACCAGCCAAGUAGCGUGAAGGAUGACUGCCCUAUGGGUUGUAAACUUCUUUUAUACGGGAAUAAAGUGGAGUAUGCAUACUCCUUUGUAUGUACCGUAUGAAUAAGGAUCGGCUAACUCCGUGCCAGCAGCCGCGGUAAUACGGAGGAUCCGAGCGUUAUCCGGAUUUAUUGGGUUUAAAGGGAGCGUAGGCGGGUGCUUAAGUCAGUUGUGAAAGUUUGCGGCUCAACCGUAAAAUUGCAGUUGAUACUGGGCGCCUUGAGUGCAGCAUAGGUAGGCGGAAUUCGUGGUGUAGCGGUGAAAUGCUUAGAUAUCACGAAGAACUCCGAUUGCGAAGGCAGCUUACUGGACUGUAACUGACGCUGAUGCUCGAAAGUGUGGGUAUCAAACAGGAUUAGAUACCCUGGUAGUCCACACAGUAAACGAUGAAUACUCGCUGUUGGCGAUACACAGUCAGCGGCCAAGCGAAAGCAUUAAGUAUUCCACCUGGGGAGUACGCCGGCAACGGUGAAACUCAAAGGAAUUGACGGGGGCCCGCACAAGCGGAGGAACAUGUGGUUUAAUUCGAUGAUACGCGAGGAACCUUACCCGGGCUUAAAUUGCAGAUGAAUUACGGUGAAAGCCGUAAGCCGCAAGGCAUCUGUGAAGGUGCUGCAUGGUUGUCGUCAGCUCGUGCCGUGAGGUGUCGGCUUAAGUGCCAUAACGAGCGCAACCCUUGUUGUCAGUUACUAACAGGUUCCGCUGAGGACUCUGACAAGACUGCCAUCGUAAGAUGUGAGGAAGGUGGGGAUGACGUCAAAUCAGCACGGCCCUUACGUCCGGGGCUACACACGUGUUACAAUGGGGGGUACAGAGGGCCGCUACCACGCGAGUGGAUGCCAAUCCCCAAAACCUCUCUCAGUUCGGACUGGAGUCUGCAACCCGACUCCACGAAGCUGGAUUCGCUAGUAAUCGCGCAUCAGCCACGGCGCGGUGAAUACGUUCCCG
rnacentral:rRNA from 1 species